GGGAACCUGCGGAGGGAUCAUUACCGAGUUUACAACUCCCAAACCCCUGUGAACAUACCACUUGUUGCCUCGGCGGAUCAGCCCGCUCCCGGUAAAACGGGACGGCCCGCCAGAGGACCCCUAAACUCUGUUUCUAUAUGUAACUUCUGAGUAAAACCAUAAAUAAAUCAAAACUUUCAACAACGGAUCUCUUGGUUCUGGCAUCGAUGAAGAACGCAGCAAAAUGCGAUAAGUAAUGUGAAUUGCAGAAUUCAGUGAAUCAUCGAAUCUUUGAACGCACAUUGCGCCCGCCAGUAUUCUGGCGGGCAUGCCUGUUCGAGCGUCAUUUCAACCCUCAAGCACAGCUUGGUGUUGGGACUCGCGUUAAUUCGCGUUCCUCAAAUUGAUUGGCGGUCACGUCGAGCUUCCAUAGCGUAGUAGUAAAACCCUCGUUACUGGUAAUCGUCGCGGCCACGCCGUUAAACCCCAACUUCUGAAUGUUGACCUCGGAUCAGGUAGGAAUACCCGCUGAACUUAAGCAUAUCAAUAAGCCGGAGG
rnacentral:rRNA from 1 species